rnacentral:rRNA from 1 species
GGGUCAGUAGGUUGGUCGUGCCACCGGUACGUACUGGUCUCACUGAUUCCUCCUUCCUGAAGAACCGUAAUGCCAUUAAUUUGGUGUUGCGGGGAGAAAGGACUGUUACUUUGAAAAAAUUAGAGUGUUUAAAGCAAGCUAACGCUUGAAUACAUUAGCAUGGAAUAAUGAAAUAGGACGAUCGAUCCUAUUUUGUUGGUUUCUAGGAUUGACGUA